rnacentral:piRNA from 1 species
UGACUUCUCAGGACACAGGUCAUGGA